ACAAGCAGCGGAGCAUGUGGUUUAAUUCGAAGCAACGCGAAGAACCUUACCAGGGCUUUGACAUGCCGCUGACCGGUGCAGAGAUGCAUCUUUAUCCUUCGGGGUACAGCGGAGACAGGUGGUGCAUGGUUGUCGUCAGCUCGUGUCGUGAGAUGUUGGGUUAAGUCCCGCAACGAGCGCAACCCCUACGUUUAGUUGCUAACGCGUGAAGGCGAGCACUCUAGACGAACUGCCGUUGACAAAACGGAGGAAGGUGGGGAUGACGUCAAAUCAUCAUGCCCCUUAUGUUCUGGGCUACACACGUGCUACAAUGGCCGGUACAGACGGACGCAAAGCCGCGAGGUGGAGCAAAUCCUAAAAAGCCGGUCUCAGUUCGGAUUGCAGGCUGCAAUUCGCCUGCAUGAAGUCGGAAUCGCUAGUAAUCGCAGGUCAGCAUACUGCGGUGAAUACGUUCCCGGGCCUU
rnacentral:rRNA from 1 species